rnacentral:sRNA from 1 species
AUUUCGGGUCUGCGAGGUGGGGUAGGCGGGCAAGGCGGGCGCCGAGGUUUGCAAGGGCUCGCAGCGGCCAGAAACCCGGCUCCGAGCGGCGGCGGCCCGGCUUCCGCUGCCCGUGAGCUAAGGACGGUCCGCUCCCUCUCGCCAGCUCCGAAUCCGGAUCCAGGCGGGGGCCAGAGGCCCCUCGCCUCCCCUCUGAGGACCGAAGAUGAGCUUCCUCUUGUCCAGUUUCAUUAUUGUCGGUGUUAAAUGCCGCCCCAGGAGAAUGUGCGUUGCCGCAGUUUGAGAAGCUUGAAGUUAAGAUGCUGGCCUUGGAGUCGGAUCGUUCUGUCCAGUUCUGAUUCUGCCCACUUACUGGCUUUGAUUUUAACCAACUUCUCUUGUCCUCGGUAGAAUCCUGUGUUUUUAAUAAUUAUGUAAUAUACCAUACAGCAUUAUUAUAUAGUACAUUGCAGUAUUAUUAUAAAUAAUUUGGAAAGUUAAAAUUAAAACAAAUUCAUAGUCC